CCUGGUGGCUCAGAUAAUAAAGCGUCUGCCUACAAUGCAGGAUACCCAGGUUCAAUCCCUGGGUCAGGA
rnacentral:tRNA from 1 species